UUGUAAUUUUAUUAAAAUCCCCAAUUGCUAACCACGGCAAAAAGGAUGUUCCAUGUAAAUGCUUGAUUUUUUUCCAUGACUCCCAUCUCCUAGAAGUAUUAGGUUCACCGUAAAAACCUGUAAGAUGCCACUAACCAAUACCAUCCUCCCCAUCAAUUCAUGCAUCAAUAUUUGAAUGAGAAUAAGUUUGAAUAUCAAGCCUAAUCUAUUUUUUCCAAAAUAAACCUAAACCACCACUACUUCCCUUACUAAAUGUGCCACCAUCAUCCGUUUUUCUUCAUGCUGCCACUCUCUAAUACGCAAACCCAAAUCGUGAGAUAGAGUUCGUAAGAGGGAUAAUCGUUUCGGUACAAAUCAAAAGAAAAAAGACUGGGAUAGAGAGAGGGAGUUCACUAAGAGACAGAGUUUGUACGGUGUUAAGAGAGAAAUAUCUAAGUUCCACCGUUAUGGUCAGUUUUUCCGCCGCCAUCCGUUCCCUCGCCAGACUCAGAACACCGAAACUGCAGGCACACACAGGAAUUGAGAUUGAGGAAGAGAAAUUUAAGUUUCAUUAACUCCGUCGAUCUGGCCAUUUACCUGCCAUCAUCAGAUCGCCGAAACUACCACCGGGUCAGCGAGUUUUUUUGGUCCAGCAUAUAGAGAGAGAGAAAUCUGAAGGACACUGCCACUGUCAGGCCAGCCUCCUGCACCGUAAGACUAAAAAAUUUCAAUGAUGGGGGGUUAUGCAACAAUGAAAUGGGCCACAAUAGCUUUUAUUGGUAAGCUAAUAUAAUCUUGGAAUCCUACAAUAUAUGUUUCGUUGCUUGCUGCUGUGUCUAUGGUGUUACUAAAUGGGAGCUGAUAUGAAUUUUUGGGUUUCUUUGAAUGCAAAUGAAAAUUUGCAUUGUUCUAUAUAUGUUAUUUUGAUAUUCUAUAUAUUUGUUUUUAUUGCAUUCCACAUGUUCAAUGAAAUCCCUUUUAGACUUAAUUAGUGAUGAUUGGAUUCAAUUUUUGCCGCCCUCAUACCAUGAUAAAUCUAAAUGAUUUAUUCAUUUAUGAACAAUGAAUUUGAACUAAAAAUUUCGAGGAUGAAAUCUAGAAGAUAUCAACAUGGUGGAAAAAAUGAAUUAUGAAACAAAUGUGAGGCAAUUGGUAGUAUUACAUAGCAUGUACAUAUUUUUUUUCAUGGCUAUGCAAUUGAUUGGGAGGCUCUUAAACACUACCCCACAGCCCCACUACCAAAUACACAUCUAUAUCCUGGAAUCCAUGGGCCCUAACUUUGAUAAUGACCCAUGUAAAAUUUGGAUGACAAAGAAAAGAAUUUGAGUGAAUGGAAUUAUUGAAAUUUAAACUUUAGCACAAAAUCAGAGUAAAAGAAUGCUAUUAGUCUUAUUUUAUUGAUUCCUUCUUGAUGAGAAGCAAAUGUAGAAGCCACAAAAACAGUUUCAUUCUUGGUCUACACCAUUGAGAGAUCAGCAAAAUCUUAAGCAACUUGGAGUCAACAAGCCUACAGCUCUUGCUUUUAUGCUGUUUGCUUUCAUGUGGAGGGUGGCACUGACAAAUUGUUACUUUCUAAUUGGAAGAGUUAAGAGUUCCAAUAUGGAAUAUAGCACUAACGCAGAAGAUUAACCUCAAGUCGAACAGUGGACCUGUCAAGGUGAAUGGUGAUGUUUCAAUUCAUCCGAGUGAAAUAGAGCUGGCACUUCAGUGCAUCAUGGCUAGAAUAUGGCUAAUCUAACUAAAUUGUUUUUUGGUUAAAGAGAUCUUAGACUUAAUUUUCUGCUAUUGGGGAAUUUUGAACUUUUGGCAUUGUUAUUGAACCUAACUCUAUAUUACACAAUUGUCAUUUUUGUUUUUUUGAA